rnacentral:rRNA from 1 species
ACGAACGCUGGCGGCGUGCUUAACACAUGCAAGUCGAACGAUGAGGCCCAGCUUGCUGGGUGGAUUAGUGGCGAACGGGUGAGUAACACGUGAGUAACCUGCCCUUGACUCUGGGAUAAGCGCUGGAAACGGCGUCUAAUACCGGAUACGACCUACCCCGGCAUCGGGUGUGGGUGGAAAGUUUUUCGGUCAAGGAUGGACUCGCGGCCUAUCAGCUUGUUGGUGAGGUAAUGGCUCACCAAGGCGACGACGGGUAGCCGGCCUGAGAGGGUGACCGGCCACACUGGGACUGAGACACGGCCCAGACUCCUACGGGAGGCAGCAGUGGGGAAUAUUGCACAAUGGGCGAAAGCCUGAUGCAGCAACGCCGCGUGAGGGAUGACGGCCUUCGGGUUGUAAACCUCUUUUAGUAGGGAAGAAGGGCUUCGGCUUGACGGUACCUGCAGAAAAAGCACCGGCUAACUACGUGCCAGCAGCCGCGGUAAUACGUAGGGUGCAAGCGUUGUCCGGAAUUAUUGGGCGUAAAGAGCUCGUAGGCGGUUUGUCGCGUCUGCUGUGAAAACCCGAGGCUCAACCUCGGGCCUGCAGUGGGUACGGGCAGGCUAGAGUGCGGUAGGGGAGAAUGGAAUUCCUGGUGUAGCGGUGGAAUGCGCAGAUAUCAGGAGGAACACCGAUGGCGAAGGCAGUUCUCUGGGCCGUAACUGACGCUGAGGAGCGAAAGCGUGGGGAGCGAACAGGAUUAGAUACCCUGGUAGUCCACGCCGUAAACGUUGGGCGCUAGAUGUGGGGACCUUUCCACGGUUUCCGUGUCGCAGCUAACGCAUUAAGCGCCCCGCCUGGGGAGUACGGCCGCAAGGCUAAAACUCAAAGGAAUUGACGGGGGCCCGCACAAGCGGCGGAGCAUGCGGAUUAAUUCGAUGCAACGCGAAGAACCUUACCAAGGCUUGACAUAUACGAGAACGGGCCAGAAAUGGUCAACUCUUUGGACACUCGUAAACAGGUGGUGCAUGGUUGUCGUCAGCUCGUGUCGUGAGAUGUUGGGUUAAGUCCCGCAACGAGCGCAACCCUCGUUCUAUGUUGCCAGCACGUUAUGGUGGGAACUCAUAGGAGACUGCCGGGGUCAACUCGGAGGAAGGUGGGGAUGACGUCAAAUCAUCAUGCCCCUUAUGUCUUGGGCUUCACGCAUGCUACAAUGGCCGGUACAAAGGGCUGCGAUACCGUAAGGUGGAGCGAAUCCCAAAAAGCCGGUCUCAGUUCGGAUUGAGGUCUGCAACUCGACCUCAUGAAGUCGGAGUCGCUAGUAAUCGCAGAUCAGCAACGCUGCGGUGAAUACGUUCCCGGGCCUUGUACACACCGCCCGUCAAGUCAUGAAAGUCGGUAACACCCGAAGCCGGUGGCCUAACCUUUUGGAGGGAGCCGUCGAAGGUGGGAUCGGUGA